rnacentral:rRNA from 1 species
UACGUAGGGGGCGAGCGUUGUCCGGAAUUAUUGGGCGUAAAGCGCGUGUAGGCGGUUCGGUAAGUCUGCUGUGAAAUCCUGGGGCUCAACCCUGGGCGUGCAGCGGAAACUGCCGGGCUAGAGGGUGGUAGAGGCCAGUGGAAUUCCGAGUGUAGCGGUGAAAUGCGCAGAUAUUUGGAAGAACACCAGUAGCGAAGGCGGCUCGCUGGGCCACAACUGACGCUGAGACGCGAAAGUGUGGGGAGCGAACAGG